AACUUUUCAAGAUAUACAUUUUCUCUUUCAUGACUAUGUUUAUUUGAGCAAUGUAUGAAAAAACAUUUGAAUACCAUUUCUUCUCUAACUUUUCAAGAUACACAUUUUCUCUUUCAUGACUAUGUUUAUUUGAGCAAUGUAUGAAAAGUUAUUUUAAAUUUCUAAAAAAUAGUAUUUAAAUGACAUGUCAUUUCAUGUGAAUUUUUGCACUUUUAACCCUCAAAUUCAACUAGACUUUUAUUGCUCAUCGAAACCAUCUCCUCAAUACGCAGUGUCAUCAUACAGUUACCAAGACCGCCACAUGAGCUUAACACUGGAACCAAACCAUCUCCUCAAUGCAUAGUCAUCAUACACUUACCAAGACCGCCACAUCAGCACAUAGCUUAACACCGGAACGAAACCAUCUCCUCAAUGCAUAGUGUCAUCAUACAGUUACCAAGACCGCCACAUCAGCUUACCACUGCAAAUGCCAUUAAAAUUUUAGGGUCAUUUGUGAUCAACUCUGAAAGUUACGAGAAUUUGUUUAUAAAAAUUCAUAUGUAUAUGCAUAAAUACAUAUAUACAUUCAUUUGGUAGGUUAUUUUAUACUUUUCUUGCUCUUUUAUUUUUAUGUCUGAUUUCAUGUUAUGGAUCUUUGUUUAGCCUUUUAGACACCAGGGUGUCACAGGUCACUCAAUAUGGAAGAAUUGCUGAUUGGUCAUUUCAAUCAUGAGUUCAGAUCACCCAGUUCAGAUCACUUAAUAUUAAACGACCAGGCUUGCAAAAGAUAGGUGCUUAGCUACUGCAACUUAUUACAGAGAUUAGAUAAUAAUUAAAGCAAGCAGCAAAGCCAUCUCAAGGUAAUUAAAAAGCACUAAUAUAUCUUACCAUGCAGACAAGACUAGUAUGUUAUAAGAUAAAUCGAGCAUGCAUAUGGUGAACCAGGGAAACACGAUGGUAGAACAAGCUGAUCUACUAUGACAGGUAACUAACACCAGCAAUAUUCCAAUCAUCAAACAACUGAGUACCAGAAUGAGACAGUUGUGUGUAAUUCACCAAAGAUGCUACCCAGCAAGUAAAUUUACCAAAGAAUUUGCUAGCUGACUUGCAACAAGGCUUGCACAAAUGAACUGCAUCCCUUUACCAUUAAUUGGCCAAAGCUAGGCUUGCACUUGCACAAGCACCUCUACGGCUCUACAUAAUCUAAAAAUUCCUUCUUGCAGAUAUUUAAUAAUCAUUACAACAGAUGAUAAAUAGAAAAGACAGAACAAUGAAGAGAUGUGCUCAAGCAUUUGCUUUUCAAGAGACUUAUGAAAAAACACAUCCAUAGUUAAUAUGUAAUGCCUACAGUACUGACCAUCACAACAACUAGAUAAAACAAGCAGAUGGCUCAAAUCUGCAAAUUGUAGCAUGCUGAAUUUUUUACAAAGUUGGGAGAAUGACGAGGACGCACGCUAAGUACCUUAUGGAUCUUCUCGAAGGAGGCAGCACGGCGCGGGAGCAUAAAUAGCUGUGUUCAAGUUCUUCCUGCAGCAUCAUUUCACAGCCUGUUAGUAGAGUGCCUAUAGUCUAAUACUCAGCUGUCAACAAACAAAGCACAAUGCUUCUUUUGCUUUCCGGAUCAGGAAGUGCCUUGCCUUGGGAGUCUGCAGUCCAAGAACUACGAUGGCUGAUAGCCAGGCAGGCAGGCCAGCCGGCAACGACCUGCACCACGGUCGUUCGUCCGCAAGCCGGAUCUGGAAUAGCUUGACAGCCAACCAAGGAGCUCUCCCCACUCCCCUACAUGUCGAAGGGUCCACAGGGGAUGCAAGGAGAAGAGAUCCUACUGGGGGAGCUCGCUGCCGGUAGGCAGCAACGGCCAGCGUCGGGGUCCUCGACCGCCGGCGGCGCGGGCACGGCACGCCGGUACGGAUCCAUGAGAACCCACGCGUCGAGGUGAACGGGCCAAGGACGGUCGGCGCGGAGCCGCACGGCCCCCACGCGAUGCUCGCGGGGAGGGAGCCCGACGAGGAUGCGGCCGCACCCGAAGGCUUGAUGAACAAGGGGCGGCGGCGGCGAGCGGAUCGACGAGGACGCGAGAGACGGAGGGAAGGUGGAGGCGGAGACCCUGUGCCCGCACCGCUCGGGAGGCGUGUCCAGCCGCGGCCUCACUACCGCGCUGCAGGCGAGAGAGGAGCAGGAUGCGGAGGCAGGAAAGGGGAGGGGAGCAGAGUGUAAUGGGUGGAUCUCUGGGGGGAGCAAGCGGGCAGCAGGUGGAUCUGGGGAGGAGAAGGAGAUGGAGGUGAAGGGGAAGAGAAUGACC
rnacentral:lncRNA from 1 species